rnacentral:rRNA from 1 species
AUACGUAGGUGACAAGCGUUAUCCGGAUUUACUGGGCGUAAAGGGCGUGUAGGCGGUCUUGCAAGUCAGAAGUGAAAUUCCUGAGCUCAACUCGGGCGCUGCUUCUGAAACUGCAGGACUUGAGUGCUGGAGGGGAUAGCGGAAUUCCUAGUGGAGCGGUAAAAUGCGCAGAUAUUAGGAAGAACACCGGUGGCGAAGGCGGCUAUCUGGACAGUAACGGACGCUGAGGCGCGAAAGCGUGGGGAGCAAACAGGAUUAGAUACCCUGGUAGUCCACGCCGUAAACGACGAAUACUAGGUGUAGGGGGUAUCGACUCCCUCUGUGCCGCAGUUAACACAAUAAGUAUUCCGCCUGGGGAGUACGGCCGCAAGGUUGAAACUCAAAUGAAUUGACGGGG